GAUGAAGAACGUAGCAAAAUGCGAUAAGUAAUGUGAAUUGCAGAAUUCAGUGAAUCAUCGAAUCUUUGAACGCACAUUGCGCCCGCCAGUAUUCUGGCGGGCAUGCCUGUUCGAGCGUCAUUUCAACCCUCAAGCCCAGCUUGGUGUUGGGAUCUGUCCUUACCGACAGUCCCCAAAUUGAUUGGCGGUCACGUCGAGCUUCCAUAGCGUAGUAAUUUACACAUCGUUACUGGUAAUCGUCGCGGCCACGCCGUUAAACCCCAACUUCUGAAUGUUGACCUCGGAUCAGGUAGGAAUACCCGCUGAACUUAAGCAUAUCAAUAAGCGGAGGA
rnacentral:misc_RNA from 1 species